CUGACAGCCCGACGUAGGGCUUGAACCCAUGACCCGUGAGACCAUGACCUGAGCCGAAGUUGGAUGUUGAACCUACUGAGCCGCCCAGAUGCCCCGACAGUCUAAGAAUUUUCUAAGAAAAUUUGUUACAUGUCCCGGAGCUCAUGCCUAUUAAGUGAAAGGACCUCAAGGAUCUCUGAGGUCUGAAAAUGCAGCCCCCAGCCUAGCUCUCUCUUGUUGCCACUGGUCCUGAAAGCUCCCAUGGGGAUAGGGGCGGGGCGCACUCCCCUCAGCUAGGCAUUGCCUUCCUGAAGGCCCUUUUUGAAAACAGCAGAGUGCAGCACGGGGCCCCAGCGUGGUCCCCGGGGACUAGCCUGCCUCCUGGUGGCAGCUUGAUUACAUUGGCCCUCUUCCAUCCCGGGAGGGUACUCCUGGGUGGCAGGCACACAUUCUGGAUAUGGACUUGCCUUCCCUGCCCUUCAUCCUACUUCCAGCAUCGCUCACGGAAUGCUUUGUCCAUUUUUAUGCACAGCCUGGCAUCACAUUGAAGAAUUCAUUUCACAGCAAAGGAAGAACAGCCAUGGGCUUGUGCCCGUGGAAUUCACCGGCCUUACCACAUAUUCUAUUACUGGUGUCGAUUCUAAAACAUUUCACUGGCCCAACCCUGUUCCACUUGGGGGAACACACUUUUGUUAACAGCUUCAUUUCUUCCUAGGUCCCUGCAACUUAAGGGGGUGAAGGAGAUAGGGUGCAUUGGGGCCUCCUCCACACAGUUCACAGCCCAGCCCAGGGCUAGGAAACCUUGUAACCCAAGACACAAGCCAUUUGGAAUGACAGCAUGUUCUGGUGAAAGCCUCCCCCAGCUCCAAAGUGUUUGGUCCAACUCCCAUUUUACUUUACAGUUGGAGACACGAGCCAAGAAAAGGGAAGUGGCUUGCUCAGAAGAACAUGGCAGAAAGAGUGACAGCCCUGUCCCUGCCAGCUCCCCACCCAGCCCCAGAAGUGAAGCAAGCUAGGAUCUGAGGAACUUGGCUCCUCUGGAGCGGCCCACAGGGCUGAGCAUCCUGUUUGUCCCUCCCUGAGAGCAGGGAAGCCCGAGGUCGUCUUUAUUUCAGGAAUGUUUUGUAGUUUUCAAUGCACGUUUUUCAGCUCCUUGCCUAAGCUUAUUCCCAGGAAAGUGACCUGCCUGAAGACCCAGCCUGUGGGAGCCACUGAGGAGCUGUGUCUGCCCUGCUUUGUCUAGGCAAGCACCCGAGCCUCUUUCUCAGCCCUUUCAGGACCCUUCCCCCCAUCUUCUUCCCACGCCAAUGUCUGGUUCUCUGUCUCCUGGAGCUUGGUCUGGAGGAGAGAGAAACCCAGGAAGGAGGGGGUUGUGACUUGACCAAGGCCACACCGUAUGACCGUGUAACCGUUAAGGCUGGCGCACAGCAAGGGCUGUCCCUUGUUCUUGCCCUUCUGGAGCCCUCAUCGUGCCUCCGCCUCCCCUUGCGACCAACUUUUUCCCUCGGUCUCCCCUGCUCUGGUCUCGGCAGGUCUGACAACGGUCACAGGCGGUGACCGCUAACUCUCUUACUUCCCACCUCUGCACAG